UACGUAGGGGGCAAGCGUUGUCCGGAUUUAUUGGGCGUAAAGAGCGUGUAGGCGGUUUGGUAGGUCCGCUGUGAAAACUCGAGGCUCAACCUCGAGACGCCGGUGGAAACCAUCAGACUAGAGUCCGGAAGAGGAGAGUGGAAUUCCUGGUGUAGCGGUGAAAUGCGCAGAUAUCAGGAAGAACACCCGUGGCUAAGGCGGCUCUCUAGUACGGUACUGACACUGAGACGCGAAAGCGUGGGGAGCGAACAGG
rnacentral:rRNA from 1 species